GUCAUAUAUAAUUAUAAUAAAAAUUUGUACUCACCAAAUGACAGACACCAUGCAGUGCAGUGAGUGGAGAAGUGAACAAGAAGCAACGUCAAUACGUUCAGUUUCAGAGCUGUCCGUUUCAGAUCCUGAAAUAUGAUUGGUUGUUUUGAAAGUGGGCGCGCAAGUGAUCAGACCUGUCAUUGGCUAAGAGUGUUUCCUGCUUCAAAUGAUUGGCUGUUUGAGAUGUCUCACCAACGUUACGCACAUCAGAUGGCAAUGACGGCGGUCCCGAGCACGCAGCGAAAGACAUCAGCAGUCCUACUCCGAAUGAAAAGCAGACCUCAAAGACGUAUGGAGAGCAGAAAGAUAAAGGAGCUGCCCAAAAGGCAUCGCCUUCCACCAAAAAAAGCCAUGUGCUACCAGCCACUUCUUGAUUCGCCAAAAGGUGUAGGGGUGAAAGGUUCGUUUGUCUUUGUGUCCUUCGAAGAUGGAUACACCGGAAAAAUGUUCAACAUCUGUGAUGUUUUAAGGAAGAAUGAGAAACCUGUUCAGGAUUUUCACGACUUGAGCCCUGGAGAGGAAAUUCUGGCUCGCUGGUCUGACCACAAAUUUUAUAAUGCAACUGUGGAGUACAUCGGAACAAACACAAAAAAAAGAUACUAAGAAAACCCUCUCAAAGAACAAAGACGCUGUGGCAUCGCAACAUCACAAUUUUUAUAAUUCUUCCCCAUCUCACCCGACUCUGCAGCAGCCUGCGUCAUCCCUCCAGCCUGUACAGCAUCCAUCUCAGCAGCACCAGGUAGCCUCAGACCUUCAGCCUGUACAGCAUCCAUCUCAGCAGUACCAGGUAGCCUCAGACCUUCAGCCUGUACAGCAUCCAUCUCAGCAGCACCAGGUAGCCUCAGCCCUUCAGCCUGUACAGCAACCAUCUCAGCAGCACCAGGUAGCCUCAGCCCUUCAGCCUGUACAGCAACCAUCUCAGCAGCACCAGGUUGCCUCAGCCAUCCAUGCUCCUUCCAACCAGCAUCUUCAGCAACAAUCUCAACACCAGUCUCAUCCAUACCAGCUUCUCCAAUCCUCUCCGCAACAGUCUCCACCGCCGCUUCACCUUCUUUACCACCAGCCUCUUCAAUCUAUUGAGGUCCAGCCACCACCUCUCUAUGGGCCAUCAUAUUCCAAAUCCCUCAGCAGCUAUUAUCAGCUCACACCUAGUACAUCACAGCAGGUGUACGCUCAGGUUCACCACAGUACUAUUGUUAGCCAGGGGACUCCUGACAAACAUGGUGUCAAUCAAGAUGUCUUCCAGUCAGCUAUUGAAACCCCUCCUCAUUCUGUCCGAAGCAGCUUCAUGAAGAUGUUAAACACCCCUCCAGGCAGUAGCAGAGUGGAGCACAAUGGCGCCAUCUCAGACACAAGUACUGCUGACACAAUAAUACUUGAGCGUAGUCCAAUAGAAGAGUAUGGUGAGCCAUGUGAGACCCCACAGUCUAGCGAACAAGGUUUUCAACCUUGCGAGCAUUGUGCAGCAGAGUUUGCAAGGCUGAAAGAAGACAAUAAGAGGCUGGAGGUGCUGAACACUAUAGAUUGUGCAGAUCUGGAGAAUAUCAGGAAGCUUCUGGGCAAAAUUGAAGGAAUAGUACCAAGCACCAAGGAGGGACACCAGGGUCCACAAAGAGACAAGAAAGAACUGUACCCGGGAAGCGGCCUGUACAUCUCUGCAACUCGUCUUGUUGCAAUUAAAGUGGAGGCCAAGAAAGACUGCCUCCGCCUGUUCCACCUUCUGUUUGAUGAAGUGUUCUCACCAGAGGAGUGCAGGAAUUGUGUUGCAUUCGGCAAACAUGGAAAAAUUCCUGAAGGCAAGACACAGCUGAAUAAGCGUAAAGUAGACGCAGUAUUGAGUAAGUGUAUAUUUUUCAUUUUUACAAAAUGAUUAUGUCUUACAAAUAUCUUGACAAUUUUUUUCUCUCUGUCUACAGCUUACAUCAUGCACUGCUGCACCUUGACAGGAUGGGUUCCGGUGGAGAUGUCAAAAGUGAAAAAAGCACUCAUCAAUAAAUGCCGUGCAAGAGCAGCC
ensembl:lncRNA